UGGGGAAUAUUGGACAAUGGGCGCAAGCCUGAUCCAGCCAUGCCGCGUGAGUGAUGAAGGCCCUAGGGUUGUAAAGCUCUUUCACCGGUGAGGAUAAUGACGGUAACCGGAGAAGAAGCCCCGGCUAACUUCGUGCCAGCAGCCGCGGUAAUACGAAGGGGGCUAGCGUUGUUCGGAAUUACUGGGCGUAAAGCGCACGUAGGCGGAUCGAUCAGUUAGGGGUGAAAUCCCGGGGCUCAACCCCGGAACUGCCUCUAAUACUGUCGAUCUGGAGUUCGAGAGAGGUGAGUGGAAUUCCGAGUGUAGAGGUGAAAUUCGUAGAUAUUCGGAGGAACACCAGUGGCGAAGGCGGCUCACUGGCUCGAUACUGACGCUGAGGUGCGAAAGCGUGGGGAGCAAACA
rnacentral:rRNA from 1 species